GAUAGCUCAGUUGGCAGAGCAUGAGACUUUUAAUCUCAGGGUUGUGGGUCCGAGCCCCACACUGGCA